AGGCGAUGAUGAGAAAAGUCAUGCACCACUCUGAAGAGAUCUGUCUCUUUGUGCUGAUAAGCAAACUUAUAACCCAUUUUAUAUCUGAGCCG
rnacentral:snoRNA from 1 species